rnacentral:lncRNA from 1 species
GUGGACCCAUUUUAACUCAAAUGGCAGAGGAAGAAGCAGAGACUCACUGAUUAAAUAAAUGCCUUAGCCAAGGCCACAGAGCUAAGUCAGCGCCAGGAUCUAAACCUUGCAAGUGAGCUUCUAAGAACUGUGAAAUUAAGCAACUGCGGUCUCCACCACAGUGUGAGCGACGGUUUGGUUACUGACCAACAUCUUUAACAGAUGAACUGUCUCCUUGGAGCAAGAUUUCCUUGGGAAACCUGUGAACAGGAUGUUUGAAGAAGGGGAGACAUGCAGAUCUAAUGAAUUUCACCUGGCGGAAGAACCUCCUGAAGAGUAGGAGGACCUCUCCCUCCGGAGAGCACGCAGCAGUGUCCCUACUGCUUCAGCCUCCCAGGCAAAAGCCCAAUAGCAGGCACUCGCUCCAACCAAAACUCUGGAAGUGGAUGGAAAUUACAUUCUCCUACUUGUAUCUUCAAACCCAUCACCUCGUGCCCAGAGACGUGCUGCCGAUACCUUGCCGACAGGAAGAAGGGGCUGCGUCGGCGAUAACAGCUGCGCUCCUGCUCCCGACCCCUCCGUUUAUCUCCCGGUGCCACCUCCUGUGCCUGCCGUAGUCUUGCUGGGCAUGCUUUGAAAUGACAGCUCUGUCAAGCUUUCCGUGUGGUGAGGACAUCCAGACUGCCACGCUUGCCAAAUACAGAAACCGCACGCACCCAGCCCCCGAGUCACCUCGGCGCUGCCUUUCCUGCGGCCAAUGGCAAACGAAGACACGUGAGCCGGCUGCUGCUCGUUCUGGGGAGAGACACGCUUUCUAAAGAAGGAAAACUAUUUUGGAACUCCUGGAUGUGACAACCUUUCUUGUUCACACUCAGUAAACACAUUAGUUAGAGUCUUUUGAUUGCCAAUUAAUAAUUCCUUUGCCAGGAAUCCUGGCAUUGAUGCUGUUUUUAGCCCUGAAAAAUCCCCUGGGUGCAGUGAGAAGUCCAGCCACCAUAGGUGUUAUGCUCCCCAAGUGUGACAGUGUCCUUGGACCUAGGAUAAUUCACGAACUUUUCAAUCAGAAAGCCCCGUGUUUUGCUGUUAGGUUUCAAGAGGAGGUGCUCCAGAAAACAGGAACAGAAAGGCUCGGGCUGAUCUGCUUUCUGAGUCAGGUCACACCUCACGUCACUGGGCACUUGGACCGACAAACUCAGGGGACACAAGGACAAGGUCAGGAAGCUUGGCGAGGCAGUUACAGUCUGUGACCUUGGCCCAGACACCGUGUUCACCCUGGCCUGCAGGGAGGCCCGCGAGGCGAUCACGGGGCGGGGAAAGGCUCAGGACUCGGAGCAAAGCCACGGGCUGGGCCGAUGUGCGCUUGUCAGCUUGCUCUUUGCACUGGGUCAGGUCUCACGGAGCUGCUGUUUUUCUGAUUGUGAAAGGUGACAGGUGGGGUUCAGACUGAAAUCUUUUCUGACUAUAAUACAGGAAGGAAUUGGAGAGCUGUAUUAGAGGGAACAACUCCUUUUCAUACAAAUAAAACUUCCAGCUAAGUGAU